CAGUCGCCACGGGAAUACGGAGGGUGCAAGCGUUAAUCGGAAUUACUGGGCGUAAAGCGCGCGCAGGCGGUCUGACAAGUCAGAUGUGAAAUCCCCGGGCUUAACCUGGGAACUGCAUUUGAAACUGUCAGGCUGGAGUCUUGUAGAGGGGGGUGGAAUUCCAGGUGUAGCGGUGAAAUGCGUAGAGAUCUGGAGGAAUACCGGUGGCGAAGGCGGCCCCCUGGACAAAGACUGACGCUCAGGUGCGAAAGCGUGGGGAGCAAACAGGAUUAGAGACCCGUGUAGUCCCUGUCUCUUAUAC
rnacentral:rRNA from 1 species